rnacentral:rRNA from 1 species
AGAGUUUGAUCCUGGCUCAGGAUGAACGCUAGCGACAGGCUUAACACAUGCAAGUCGAGGGGCAGCAUGAUUUGUAGCAAUACAGAUUGAUGGCGACCGGCGCACGGGUGAGUAACGCGUAUGCAACUUACCUAUCAGAGGGGGAUAACCCGGCGAAAGUCGGACUAAUACCGCAUGAAGCAGGGGCCCCGCAUGGGGAUAUUUGCUAAAGAUUCAUCGCUGAUAGAUAGGCAUGCGUUCCAUUAGGCAGUUGGCGGGGUAACGGCCCACCAAACCGACGAUGGAUAGGGGUUCUGAGAGGAAGGUCCCCCACAUUGGUACUGAGACACGGACCAAACUCCUACGGGAGGCAGCAGUGAGGAAUAUUGGUCAAUGGCCGAGAGGCUGAACCAGCCAAGUCGCGUGAGGGAUGAAGGUUCUAUGGAUCGUAAACCUCUUUUAUAAGGGAAUAAAGUGCGGGACGUGUCCCGUUUUGUAUGUACCUUAUGAAUAAGGAUCGGCUAACUCCGUGCCAGCAGCCGCGGUAAUACGGAGGAUCCGAGCGUUAUCCGGAUUUAUUGGGUUUAAAGGGAGCGUAGGCGGACGCUUAAGUCAGUUGUGAAAGUUUGCGGCUCAACCGUAAAAUUGCAGUUGAUACUGGGUGUCUUGAGUACAGUAGAGGCAGGCGGAAUUCGUGGUGUAGCGGUGAAAUGCUUAGAUAUCACGAAGAACUCCGAUUGCGAAGGCAGCUUGCUGGACUGUAACUGACGCUGAUGCUCGAAAGUGUGGGUAUCAAACAGGAUUAGAUACCCUGGUAGUCCACACAGUAAACGAUGAAUACUCGCUGUUUGCGAUAUACAGUAAGCGGCCAAGCGAAAGCGUUAAGUAUUCCACCUGGGGAGUACGCCGGCAACGGUGAAAC